rnacentral:rRNA from 1 species
GAGGAAGGUGGGGAUGACGUCAAGUCCUCAUGGCCCUUACGGGCUGGGCUACACACGUGCUACAAUGGGUGAGACAAUGAGAUGCAACUCUGCGAAGACAAGCUAAUCUAUAAACUCACUCUAAGUUCGGAUUGUAGGCUGCAACUCGCCUGCAUGAAGUUGGAAUCGCUAGUAAUCGCUGGUCAGCUAUACAGCGGUGAAUUCGUUCCCGGGCCUUGUACACACCGCCCGUCA